rnacentral:rRNA from 1 species
ACUCCUACGGGAGGCAGCAGCAGGGAAUCUUGCGCAAUGGGCGAAAGCCUGACGCAGCAACGCCGCGUGAGGGAUGAAGGCCUUCGGGUUGUAAACCUCUUUCAGAAGGGAAGAAAUUGACGGUACCUUCAGAAGAAGCCCCGGCCAACUACGUGCCAGCAGCCGCGGUAAUACGUAGGGGCAAGCGUUGUCCGGAAUUAUUGGGCGUAAAGAGCUCGUAGGCGGCUCAGCAAGUCGACUGUGAAAUCCCGAGGCUCAACCUCGGAACUGCAGUCGAUACUGCUGUGGCUUGAGUCUGGUAGAGGAGAAUGGAAUUCCCGGUGUAGCGGUGAAAUGCGCAGAUAUCGGGAGGAACACCAGUAGCGAAGGCGGUUCUCUGGGCCAGUACUGACGCUGAGGAGCGAAAGCGUGGGUAGCAAACAGGAUUAGAUACCCUGGUAGCGAG